GAUGAACGCUGGCGGCGUGCCUAAUGCAUGCAAGUCGAGCGAACGGACGAGAAGCUUGCUUCUCUGAUGUUAGCGGCGGACGGGUGAGUAACACGUGGAUAACCUACCUAUAAGACUGGGAUAACUUCGGGAAACCGGAGCUAAUACCGGAUAAUAUUUUGAACCGCAUGGUUCAAAAGUGAAAGACGGUCUUGCUGUCACUUAUAGAUGGAUCCGCGCUGCAUUAGCUAGUUGGUAAGGUAACGGCUUACCAAGGCAACGAUGCAUAGCCGACCUGAGAGGGUGAUCGGCCACACUGGAACUGAGACACGGUCCAGACUCCUACGGGAGGCAGCAGUAGGGAAUCUUCCGCAAUGGGCGAAAGCCUGACGGAGCAACGCCGCGUGAGUGAUGAAGGUCUUCGGAUCGUAAAACUCUGUUAUUAGGGAAGAACAUAUGUGUAAGUAACUGUGCACAUCUUGACGGUACCUAAUCAGAAAGCCACGGCUAACUACGUGCCAGCAGCCGCGGUAAUACGUAGGUGGCAAGCGUUAUCCGGAAUUAUUGGGCGUAAAGCGCGCGUAGGCGGUUUUUUAAGUCUGAUGUGAAAGCCCACGGCUCAACCGUGGAGGGUCAUUGGAAACUGGAAAACUUGAGUGCAGAAGAGGAAAGUGGAAUUCCAUGUGUAGCGGUGAAAUGCGCAGAGAUAUGGAGGAACACCAGUGGCGAAGGCGACUUUCUGGUCUGUAACUGACGCUGAUGUGCGAAAGCGUGGGGAUCAAACAGGAUUAGAUACCCUGGUAGUCCACGCCGUAAACGAUGAGUGCUAAGUGUUAGGGGGUUUCCGCCCCUUAGUGCUGCAGCUAACGCAUUAAGCACUCCGCCUGGGGAGUACGACCGCAAGGUUGAAACUCAAAGGAAUUGACGGGGACCCGCACAAGCGGUGGAGCAUGUGGUUUAAUUCGAAGCAACGCGAAGAACCUUACCAAAUCCUGACAUCCUUUGACAACUCUAGAGAUAGAGCCUUCCCCUUCGGGGGACAAAGUGACAGGUGGUGCAUGGUUGUCGUCAGCUCGUGUCGUGAGAUGUUGGGUUAAGUCCCGCAACGAGCGCAACCCUUAAGCUUAGUUGCCAUCAUUAAGUUGGGCACUCUAAGUUGACUGCCGGUGACAAACCGGAGGAAGGUGGGGAUGACGUCAAGUCAUCAUGCCCCUUAUGAUUUGGGCUACACACGUGCUACAAUGGACAAUACAAAGGGCAGCGAAACCGCGAGGUCAAGCAAAUCCCAUAAAGUUGUUCUCAGUUCGGAUUGUAGUCUGCAACUCGACUACAUGAAGCUGGAAUCGCUAGUAAUCGUAGAUCAGCAUGCUACGGUGAAUACGUUCCCGGGUCU
rnacentral:rRNA from 1 species